CCCGGGACGCGGCGGACGGCUCAGGACAACGGUUGCACCCCCCGCGGCGGUCCCUGCUAGCCGGACACCGCUGGCAACCCGGCGCCAAGACGUGCGCGCAAGGGCGGGCGCCCGCGGGCGAGCAGCGUGACGCAGA
rnacentral:rRNA from 1 species